GUGCUCAAUUCAGAAUCACAUAUACUAACAUUGGAACGAUACAGAGAAGAUUAGCAUGGCACCUGUGCAAGGACGACAUGCAAAUUCGUGGAGCAUUCCAUAUUUUU
ensembl:snRNA U6 U6 spliceosomal RNA